rnacentral:lncRNA from 1 species
AUGCCUGUCCAGGAUACUGGCAGCAGCAUAGGUCUUCUAAGUUUCACCCGUGCAUAUGCUUUUGGUUCACUCUCAACUGAAGAAACUGGGAAAUGCACAUGUGGAAUCUGUUUCAUUGCACGGCGAACAAAAGCAGGGACAUGGCAUUUGCCUUUGCGAGAAGUAUGCACACUGUAUAUGUUACCACCCAUGAGUCUCAGUCAUCCGAUCCAUAGAUCACAAGAAGAAGAAGGAAUGUCUAGAGAUGUGGUAAGCAGAGUCUGUGGUCAUAGGUGGGACACUUGGUGACAUACAACCUGGGGGACUCUCUUAUAGAAAUGAUGCUCAUGACUUGAGAGCACUCCAAGGACCCAAGCCCAUUACUGCUCACCGUUUCUAAGCACAAUCUAUUGUUAAUCCUGCAACAUCAAUGGUGUAAGUGCUCCCUCGUUUUUCUUUGCCUGUAUCUUUCCCUACCAACUAGGGGACAAAUUGCGGUCUGAGAACACAGCGUCUUUAAUGGGGCAGCCUGAUCAAAAUAUACCUUUUGUGCAAUUCAUGCUCUCAAACUGGGGUGCACUUGUUUAUCUAAUGGAAUCAUUUACAACCUUCAUUUUCUGCUCAUGGCAGCUCACAGAGGGUGCUCUGUCAGGGCUCAGCGGCAAUUGCUUUCUCUAGUCUUUGUUUGGCACUGAUUUAUACUGAGGGAAAAAAUAAAGUUUAAGGCAUGUGGGCAUUGUCCUUACUCCUGCUCAGUCUUCAUGGAAAAUCAUGGAUCCUCUGUGUUUUUCCCCUACCUUCUUAAAUUUCCAAAGAGUGCAUUGCAAUGGUGAGGAAUCUCUAUUUUUCCUCCACUGCAUACCGUCGGAAGUUUGCAAAAUGUGACCCAACUCAGUGACAAUCGAAGCUCCCAUUUGCCUUCCACAGACAGCUUACCGGUCACAGCUUUCAGGUCGCAGAAAUGAACGGAUCCUUAUUCAGACAACAGCAGACUCCUGAGUGGGCACAGUCAGAUGUGUCUCCCCUGGAUGGAAUGUCAUAGGCUUUCAGCUUGCUUCCAUGUUAAUUGCAAGAGUGAGCCCUCUCUGAAUCAUGCUAGGAUAAUAAUGCCCUGUCCCAAGUGUUCUGAACAGGGAGUGCAUGGACUCAGUUGGGACAAUCCAUCAUUUUCAAAAAGUGUAUCAUUUCCCGUCACUCCCCUGACAGCCCCAUCUGCUCCACUAAGUUGACUUUCUCCUUUCUCUGGUGAAGAAUUAAAAAACACUAUGGUCAAGUGUCAGUGACAGAUAAAGUGAAGGGCAACAAUUUCUGACAUUUGCUGCCAGGAUCACCAGACAAGUGACUUAGUUUAGGGGAAUGCUGAAUAUUCUCUUCUUGCUAAGAAAGGAGUGAUGGGUCCUAGUACAUUUGACAUGUACGGGCUUUGACACACAUCUCUUCUCCCCAGGAGUCAGUGACAUGAGCAGUGCUGGUUUUGGAUGGUUGAUUCUCGACGGAUCUUGCAUUUCACUCUUGCUAU